rnacentral:rRNA from 1 species
AUGAAUCUUCUAUGCUAGAACUGCCGGGGGAUUGGCAACGCCCCGACAAUUCAAGAGCUGCGCGAACUCGCGAAUAAGUUUGCCCCUAGAGUGCUUUGUAUAGUUGAAACCCAAAUCAGUGGGGAGAGAGCUAAAAAUUUAAAAAGUUCUUUAGGUUACGAUUGUUCUUUUGCUGUUGAUGCCUCCGGUAGGAGUGGAGGUUUGGCUGUUUUUUGGAAUAAUGAAAUAAAAGUCGAUAUUUUGGGUUUCUCUAAGUACCAUAUUGAUGGCAAGGUUCUAGGUGUAGGAGAUCAACCUUGGAGGCUCUCUUGUUGA